AUAUAUAUAUAUAUAUACGCACGAGUUGUCAUAAUUUUGUCCCCCCAGCCCUCGUGUGUGUUAUUUAUCUCUCUCUAACGUUUGACUAUUUAUCAUAUCUCGUAUCCCUUCGUUCGUUCGCUCGCGCGCGCGUUUCGGAUUCUGACGAGAGGUGAAAAGACACACGUUGUUGCUGAUAGAAAGACAGGGAGAUAGAGAGACAGAGAAGAAAACAGAUAUACGUUCAGCAGAUAUAUACAGAGUGGGGGAUUAAAAUAAAAGAGAAAGAAGAUUCCAAGAACGCAUAAAAUAAAAGAGAGAAAGAGAAAGAGUGUGAGGAACAUUGAAUUUUCCCCAAAGCGUGUAACGAGAGGAUCGGCCUUCGACGACGAGACGUAGAGUAACCUUGUUUUCUGCGUUCCAACCUACGCUCUUCUCGUGACACAUACACACACAUACUUCUCAUAGUAAAAGAAAUACAAUCGCGGAGAACUACUACUACUACUACUACUAUUACUCUUUAUAGACACGUUUCUCCUGUAACUUGCAUUAGUGAUCUUUAGAAAGGAGUAUAACAACGAACUGAACGGUGAGAAGAAAACUUACGACACGAUAUUUUUCACAAAAAUAUUUAACAACGAAUUAAAUAUCGCAUAUACGUGAAUAAGUGUGAUACGAAAUUAAGUGUUCAGCAAAAGAAGAUAAAUUAUCUCUUGGUCAAAAUAAAAA